UACCAACGGUAUUUCUCAUAUAAAAACCUCAUUUACGAAAAUAAUAAUAAUAAUAUUCAUAGACAAUAUCACCUUUUCAUUUCUCUCCUAAAAUGGAAAAUUCAAUAAUCACAAUGAGUUUCAACAUGAACGAUCUGCGAAACAAUCUUCCAGAAAAGAAAGGGUUGUCGAAGUACUAUUCCGGAAAAUCAAGAUCAUUUACGUGCAUGGCGGAUGUUCAAAGUGUUGAAGAUUU